UGAAAUAUUUAAUGUCAAUUUCUAAUGAUGGAUAUAUAUGUAUGAAAACUUUAAUAUAAGGUCUAUGUACAUACAGAAAAAAGAAUUGGUUUUUCCCAAAGAUACAGAAC